UGAGAACACAGCAGGGCGACUGGAGAGACGCGUGAGCAGUCGGGGGGUGACGGAUAAGUGACAUGGGAACCCUCGAAGCUCCCAGCACGAGUCAGGGAAAUGCUGCUCCGCUUGGGACAGUGCCUGGUUGAGGAGCCCUCAUGCUGACAGCAUGUCCAAGUCCUGUUCUCCCCGACACCUACCUCCUGCAGGCGGCGGGCGGCACUUUCAGCGAGAGGCCUUGCUCCGAGCUGGGCCUCGGAGACUCUCGCCUCUGCAGGGCUGGAGCUGCCCCCGCCAUGGUGACAGCACACAAGGCAGCGUGCACAGAGGUCACACAGGCCGCGCACAUGUCCAGGGAGGACGAGCUGACCCUCCGCGUGGGCGAAGGAGCCCCUCCGAGACGGGGAUCAGAAACCUAGGGGUGCCUAACGGAAAUCAGCACCCUCUACCUGCUGACUGUGCCCACCGUUUCCCUAGGUGCCCAGAGCUUCCGACAGAGUGAGGCUAAGGAGAUUCCAGGGGCAGGUGAACACACAGAGCUGGCACAGGGCAGCAGGCCUGGGGGGCUUCUGUUUGCCCAGGAGGGGGAGUGGAAGAGGAAUUCAGAUUAGGGCCAGAGU